rnacentral:lncRNA from 1 species
GGAUAGUGGUACAAACCACUGCAGAGAAGGCAGCAUACAGCCACCCUUCUCCCUGCCUUAUGGUCCAGUUCAGAACCCCUGUCACCAACAUUACCCAGUUCCCAGCUCUGUGACACUUCUGUCCACUCAGCCAGCAGAUGACAGAAGCUUAAAGAUACGAAGGUAAAUGCUCAUCAAAGGGGUAUUCAAAGGAGACACGCAUUCAACUCCUCCGAACACUGGUCGUUAUUUAAGCUCUGUAGCCUUAGGAGACCCUGAGGGUUCUAGAGGCAGCGGGCCAGGAUCUCUGAGCUGUGCAGCCGCUGGAGGGUCUCCAUGAGGAUGAAGAAGGCAGUGGACAGGAGUCAUGAAGACCGAUUCAGAAACUCCACGGCAAGGAGGGAAGAGGUCUGAGCCAUCCCUGUGCCACCGGCGUGAGUCACCCCAGCUCCUGACAGCCAGGGAGGGGGGCUGCCUACAAUUAAAGUCCUCGUUUGCAUCAG